rnacentral:rRNA from 1 species
GACAGAGGGGGCAAGCGUUGCUCGGAAUUACUGGGCGUAAAGGGCGCGUAGGCGGCCUUCUAAGUCGAACGUGAAAUCCCCGGGCUCAACCCGGGAACUGCGUCCGAUACUGGAAGGCUUGAAUCCGGGAGAGGGAUGCGGAAUUCCUGGUGUAGCGGUGAAAUGCGCAGAUAUCAGGAAGAACACCCCGUGGCGAAGGCGGCUCUCUGGAAACGCAACUGACGCUGAGACGCGAAAAGCGUGGGGGAGCAAACAGG